rnacentral:rRNA from 1 species
AUGCAUGUGUAAGUGUAAAUAUCAUAGUUUGGAACUGCGAAUGGCUCAUUAUAUCAGUUAUAGUUUAUUUGGUGAAGUGUACUACUUGGAUAACCGUAGUAAUUCUAGGGCUAAUACAUGAGUAAAUCCUCUGGUGAGGUGUGUUUAUUAGAAUGAAAACCAUAUGCUUCGGCAUGAUAGUGAGUAAUAGUAACCUAUCGUAUCGCAUGCUUAAUGUAGCGAUGAGUCUUUCAAGUUUCUGCCCUAUCAGCUUUCGAUGGUAGCAUAUGGGUCUACCAUGGCAGUAACGGGUAACGAAGAA